GACGAAGGGGGCUAGCGUUGUUCGGAGUUACUGGGCGUAAAGCGUGUGUAGGUGGUUGUCAUAGUCAGGUGUGAAAGCCUUGAGCUCAACUCAAGAAAUGCACUUGAUACUGGGCAGCUAGAGGACCGGAGAGGAUAGUGGAAUUCCCAGUGUAGUGGUGAAAUACGUAGAGAUUGGGAAGAACACCAGUGGCGAAGGCGGCUAUCUGGACGGUUUCUGACACUAAGACACGAAAGCGUGGGGAGCAAACAGG
rnacentral:rRNA from 1 species